GGUAACGCCGGGGAAGCGGGCGGGGGAGUAGGGAGGGUACGGGCGUGGAGCGGAAGUACUGGGCGGAAAGCGUGCGGAAGCGGCUGGGUGAGUAAGCCGGGAAAGCCCGGGGCGCAACCGGGGAACGGCGGUGGAGACGACCAGGCGCGAGUGGGGUAGAGGGUCGUGGAAUGCCGGGGGGAGCGGUGAAAUGCGUAGAGAUCCGGAGGAACACCGAUGGCGAAGGCAGCGAGCUGGGGCAACACUGACGCUGAGGCACGAAAGCGUGGGGAGCAAACAGGAUUAGAUACCCGAGGAGUC
rnacentral:rRNA from 1 species